GUUAGCUCAGCUGGUUAGAGCAUGGUGCUGAUAACGCCAAGGUUGCCAGUUCAAUCCUCAGCUGGGCCA